UUGGUUUAAAUCAUUGUAGAUCUACACUUUGAAAAUUGAACCUCCAGAAAAUGGUGGGACAUCCAUUGUUUUCAUCCAA
rnacentral:pre_miRNA from 1 species